UACGGGGGGAGCAAGCGUUGUUCGGAUUUACUGGGCGUAAAGGGCGCGUAGGCGGCCACCGCAAGUCGAUUGUGAAAUCUCCGGGCUUAACCCGGAGCGGUCAAGUGAUACUGUCGUGCUAGAGUGCGGAAGGGGCAACUGGAAUUCUCGGUGUAGCGGUGAAAUGCGUAGAUAUCGAGAGGAACACCUGCGGCGAAGGCGGGUUGCUGGGCCGACACUGACGCUGAGGCGCGAAAGCCAGGGGAGCGAACGGG
rnacentral:rRNA from 1 species